AGGACGAACGCUGGCGGCGUGCUUAACACAUGCAAGUCGAGCGGAAAGGCCCUUCGGGGUACUCGAGCGGCGAACGGGUGAGUAACACGUGAGCAACCUGCCCUUGGCUCUGGGAUAGCCUCCGGAAACGGGGAUUAAUACCGGACAUUCACUUUCUCCUGCAUGGGGGGUUGGUGGAAAGUUUUUCGGCCAGGGAGGGGCUCGCGGCCUAUCAGCUUGUUGGCGGGGUAACGGCCCACCAAGGCGACGACGGGUAGCCGGCCUGAGAGGGCGAUCGGCCACACUGGGACUGAGACACGGCCCAGACUCCUACGGGAGGCAGCAGUGGGGAAUAUGCACAAUGGGCGCAAGCCUGAUGCAGCGACGCCGCGUGGGGGAUGAAGGCCUUCGGGUUGUAAACCCCUUUCACCAGGAGCGAAUUCAGACGGUACCUGGGGAAGAAGCGCCGGCUAACUACGUGCCAGCAGCCGC
rnacentral:rRNA from 1 species